GGGUUGUGAGGUUAAGCGACUAAGCGUACACGGUGGAUGCCCUGGCAGUCAGAGGCGAUGAAGGACGUGCUAAUCUGCGAUAAGCGUCGGUAAGGUGAUAUGAACCGUUAUAACCGGCGAUUUCCGAAUGGGGAAACCCAGUGUGAUUCGUCACACUAUCAUUAACUGAAUCCAUAGGUUAAUGAGGCGAACCGGGGGAACUGAAACAUCUAAGUACCCCGAGGAAAAGAAAUCAACCGAGAUUCCCCCAGUAGCGGCGAGCGAACGGGGAGCAGCCCAGAGCCUGAAUCAGUGUGUGUGUUAGUGGAAGCGUCUGGAAAGGCGUGCGAUACAGGGUGACAGCCCCGUACACAAAAAUGCACAUAUUGUGAGCUCGAUGAGUAGGGCGGGACACGUGGUAUCCUGUCUGAAUAUGGGGGGACCAUCCUCCAAGGCUAAAUACUCCUGACUGACCGAUAGUGAACCAGUACCGUGAGGGAAAGGCGAAAAGAACCCCGGCGAGGGGAGUGAAAAAGAACCUGAAACCGUGUACGUACAAGCAGUGGGAGCACAGAGCAAUCUGUGUGACUGCGUACCUUUUGUAUAAUGGGUCAGCGACUUAUAUUCUGUAGCAAGGUUAACCGAAUAGGGGAGCCGAAGGGAAACCGAGUCUUAACUGGGCGUUAAGUUGCAGGGUAUAGACCCGAAACCCGGUGAUCUAGCCAUGGGCAGGUUGAAGGUUGGGUAACACUAACUGGAGGACCGAACCGACUAAUGUUGAAAAAUUAGCGGAUGACUUGUGGCUGGGGGUGAAAGGCCAAUCAAACCGGGAGAUAGCUGGUUCUCCCCGAAAGCUAUUUAGGUAGCGCCUCGUGAAUUCAUCUCCGGGGGUAGAGCACUGUUUCGGCAAGGGGGUCAUCCCGACUUACCAACCCGAUGCAAACUGCGAAUACCGGAGAAUGUUAUCACGGGAGACACACGGCGGGUGCUAACGUCCGUCGUGAAGAGGGAAACAACCCAGACCGCCAGCUAAGGUCCCAAAGUCAUGGUUAAGUGGGAAACGAUGUGGGAAGGCCCAGACAGCCAGGAUGUUGGCUUAGAAGCAGCCAUCAUUUAAAGAAAGCGUAAUAGCUCACUGGUCGAGUCGGCCUGCGCGGAAGAUGUAACGGGGCUAAACCAUGCACCGAAGCUGCGGCAGCGACGCUGAUGCGUUGUUGGGUAGGGGAGCGUUCUGUAAGCCUGCGAAGGUGUGCUGUGAGGCAUGCUGGAGGUAUCAGAAGUGCGAAUGCUGACAUAAGUAACGAUAAAGCGGGUGAAAAGCCCGCUCGCCGGAAGACCAAGGGUUCCUGUCCAACGUUAAUCGGGGCAGGGUGAGUCGACCCCUAAGGCGAGGCCGAAAGGCGUAGUCGAUGGGAAACAGGUUAAUAUUCCUGUACUUGGUGUUACUGCGAAGGGGGGACGGAGAAGGCUAUGUUGGCCGGGCGACGGUUGUCCCGGUUUAAGCGUGUAGGCUGGU
rnacentral:rRNA from 1 species